GGGGAAUAUUGGACAAUGGGGGGAACCCUGAUCCAGCCAUGCCGCGUGUGUGAAGAAGGCCUUAUGGUUGUAAAGCACUUUAAGCGAGGAGGAGGCUCUUUUGGUUAAUACCCAAGAUGAGUGGACGUUACUCGCAGAAUAAGCACCGGCUAACUCUGUGCCAGCAGCCGCGGUAAUACAGAGGGUGCGAGCGUUAAUCGGAUUUACUGGGCGUAAAGCGUGCGUAGGCGGCUUUUUAAGUCGGAUGUGAAAUCCCCGAGCUUAACUUGGGAAUUGCAUUCGAUACUGGGAAGCUAGAGUAUGGGAGAGGGAAGCGGAAUUCCUAGUGUAGCGGUGAAAUGCGUAGAUAUUAGGAGGAACACCAGUGGCGAAGGCGGCUUUCUGGACUGUAACUGACGCUGAUGCACGAAAGCGUGGGGAGCAAACA
rnacentral:rRNA from 1 species